rnacentral:rRNA from 1 species
CCUACGGGCGGCAGCAGUGGGGAAUAUUGGACAAUGGGGGGAACCCUGAUCCAGCCAUGCCGCGUGUGUGAAGAAGGCCCUCGGGUUGUAAAGCACUUUCAGUGAGGAAGAACGCCUGGUGGUUAAUACCCAUCAGGAAAGACAUCACUCACAGAAGAAGCACCGGCUAACUCCGUGCCAGCAGCCGCGGUAAUACGGAGGGUGCGAGCGUUAAUCGGAAUUACUGGGCGUAAAGCGCGCGUAGGUGGCUUGAUAAGCCGGUUGUGAAAGCCCCGGGCUCAACCUGGGAACGGCAUCCGGAACUGUCAAGCUAGAGUGCAGGAGAGGAAGGAAGAAUUCCCGGUGUAGCGGUGAAAUGCGUAGAGAGCGGGAGGAAUACCAGUGGCGAAGGCGGCCUUCUGGACUGACACUGACACUGAGGUGCGAAAGCGUGGGUAGCAAACAGGAUUAGAUACCCCUGUAGUC